GCAGAGUAGAUUUGUGUGCGUUAAGUGCUGUCCGAACGGGGAGUUGUCGGAUGGACGAAAAGAUUAUCUUGCGGUACACAUUUCGCAUCCCGCUGC
rnacentral:ncRNA from 1 species